CAUCAACUUCCGUCAGGCAGCUCCGGGAGAUCGAACCUUUCGAUUGUAACUGGGACAAUUUGCAUAGUGAUUCCCUUUCAGAGCUUUCUCGGGUCCAUAACAAGCGCAGGCAGCUAUUCAAAUGCAAGUUGCGUCCCCAAAUGCGCGGCUGGCCUGAGCAAAAGGAGCGGCUCGACGCGGGGCGAGCCGAGACCGGCGCUGGGGUUCUGGGUCACCUCUUUUCUCCCGGUUUUUUCCCUCGCUCUUCGGUUCCUGAAUUAGCUGUUUAUUUACGGCUACAAACGCGUGUGAGCCAGAGAGCCAACGCGCGAGGGAGGGAAUUGAUCUUUACCGGGACUCAAAGCCGAAGCCGAAGGAGUGCAGGAGAUUUGGGGUUCUGAGUGGGACUCAGACCCCGGGUGCUAAUGGGGAGUCCGUGGGCUUUCUUGCCCACUUCCCUAAUACCCUCGACCCUGCAGGAAUCCUCAAGCCUGAGAACGGCCGGGCCCCUGGCUUUGGAGAAAGUGGCGGCCGCUGCGUCCCAGUCUUUAGAAUGAACGCCAAGAAAGGAGGCAAAGCUGAAACCUGGUCGCGCGUCAGAAACAACCUGCGGUGAAAUCCGUUAAUGCGCACGGACUCGCCCUCCGCGCAUGUAGCCACAGCAAAUUAUUGCUCAUUUGAUACCCAGAAUUCUAUUGACUAUGGCUUUCAUCGGAGAGAGAACUCUAACUCCUGGCAGCUCUGGGCUCAGAGCUAAGGCUGGAAACAUGGAGGAUAUUCAGUCCCUGGCCUGCAGGAAUUGAUGGACAUGUGUUGGUGACAUGGAGCCACGUGGGCUUGCAUAGAAACCUGCUUUUUACUCUGCUGGCCUUGCCCCCAUUCAGGCAAAAGGUCAGCCCCUUUGGAACAGAUUUGCCUACUUGGAAGGCUGGGUAUUCGUUUGGCACGUUCUUUCCAGCUCUAGCCAGUCUGGGGAAGAAAAUGAGACAAUGGAAGAUUUCUCCUCUGGCUUCUGGUCAAAGCUAGACCCAGGCGGGAAUGCUUAAAGAAGCCUUGAACCGUGCAUGCCUCCUCAACCAAAACUUCUUGAUUUUGAUACAUGAAUAUCAUUUCCUACAUUUCAACCCCCUCCCACUCUUUCAAGACCCUACAGCACUGCAGAGUGGACAGAGUGGGGAGCGAUCUGAGAUCUGAGUCUGGUUGGCGGUGGGCACCCAGCCUCCACGACAAGAGUCCCUGCUACAGUGUCCAACUGUGUAAAGAAGAAGCCUGUGCCUAGAGAAUGCCUGAUCUUGGACCCUGGAACUCACAGCUCCAGGUUGCUCCCAAAAUGAGCCCAAGAAGAGGGCCUUGGAGGGCUGUGGGAAAGGCCAGGUGAGUUCCUCAGGACACCGGUUGUGGAAUCUGCCUUCCAGAUCCAAGGAGCUGAUGCUGCCCCAAAGCAAGAGACCCAAAGACUUGACCUGCCAAAGGCUGCCUGCCUAUCUCCUUCCUUCAGCUCUGACUCUCCCGGGGGAGUCCACGGAAGAGAUGGCUGGCAGGGCAUUCAUUUCUACAAGUCCCACAGCUAAGCACUCUAGACUGGUUUCCAGAACAACCAAAAGAAGCCAUCAAAGAUUUUCUAAAUGAGUCCCAGCAGGUGCCGCCUCCAAAGAGCGCUGCCUUAAAACCUGAAGGUGCAUUUAAGGGUGCCUAGGGACCUGGCCUGUUAAACACGUGUGUGAAGCCACUGUCCAAGAAGCCAUGUUGUUCCAGCCCAAGGCAAUGAAAAUGUGGGAGUGGGCACCACAGACAACACAGAGUGUGGAGAAGAGAUGAAGAGACUCUCGGUGGAUUGUGACACUCGGCUUGAGGAUUUAGGGGGUGUAGAGGGAGAUGCACAUUGCGGCCUCUUUGUUUUCCUUUUAAAACAUUUAAAAACAAGCAGAACCCUGUCUGUUGAUGUAAUCAUGGCAUGUCCAAGGUAGUAUAUUCCUCAAGUACACUCCCAGCCGCCACAGUUAAAAGAUCUACUAGCCUAGGCUGGUAUGGAAAACAAACAUUUUGCUGAUUCCAGCAUAAGCUCUGAAUGCAACACACACACACACACACACACACACACACACACACACACGGGGGUGGGGGGGGGCAGACUUCAUGCAAUUGUUCCUGUACAGGUAGCUGGCUGAGUCUGGAGCUGUGGAGUCUGGAAAAAGCAAAGGAGAUCAUCCUGAACCGGAAGUUACCUUGGGAAACAAGACUUGAGACCCGGGGUUGAGGUCAUGUUGGGGUCACCCAGCAUUUCUUUGGAGCAGAGUUGAGAACUUCUCAGCUGGACUCAGUUGCUUCGGAUCUGAAAUUAGGAAAUUGCUUCUUCUGGCCGGCAUAGCAGCAAUCACCUCCCCGGGUUAAGGUGCCCUGGCCUCUCCUCAGGGGGCUCCUGACUGCAACAUUGCACUUCCCAACUGCCCGAUCAGCCCCCUCAGGGUUUUGCCAGGCAAAUGAAACAAAAAGAACUCAAUAGUAAAUUAUUUUGUUCAGCCUUCUGUCUUUUUAUGAAAAUAAAAGCCAACACUUUGUCAUUUUUAAUCGCAUAAGCAGACAAUAAAUCUAAUUUUGAUAUUGAUUUUUUUCCAGAA